rnacentral:lncRNA from 1 species
CCUGUUACCUCUGUAACCGUCCCCAACUAUACAGGAGUCCUUUCUUCCCCCACUCUCUUCCUGUGUGCUGCCCUUCUGGCAGCUUUAUGGGACUUGUACAGCUGGUGAGCAAUCAGCCCUUAAUUACUCACCAGCUCCCAAUCAGCCCCAAUUAGUCCUGGGCGGAGAGCCCGUCGAGACCUGGCACGUCCAGCAGAUGGAGCCAUCGCCUUGUGAUGUACACUCUGUCUGUCAGCAGGCCUCGACGAGUCUCCCCCUGGUGGCUGACCUGCUGUACGCCACACACCCCCACCAUAGCUCUGUCGGGGAGGGGGCUGUCAUCAGUGUGACGUAGGUCUCCCUUCUCGAUAGGGCAUCUGCAUUUCCAUGCUUCGCCCCUGACCUGUGCACAACAGAAAAAAGAAAAGCGUUGAAGGGACAAGAAACACCUGGUGACCCAAUCGUUUGUCUCCCUUCCCCUGGCUAUCCAGACCAGGGGAGCAUGGUCAGUGACCAGGGUGAAGUGGAUACCUAACAGCUAUUUCUUCAGGCGCCUGAACGCUGCUUCUGUCUCGUCCGUCCAUUUCACUGUUUUCGGGAGGCGGGCCCUGGUUAGAUCAGUGAAGGGGGAAGCUAUAGCCGCAAAGUUGGGGAUAAAUCGGCUAUAGUAUCCUUCCAGUCCCAGGAAGGAUUUGACCUGUGUCUUGGUGCGUGGAACAGGCCAGUCGCGUACCGCAUGAACCUUCCUCUCCUGGGGCUUGACGUUCCCCAGUCCGAUCAAAUAACCCAUGUACUCCACCUCCUCGAACCCUAGUUUGCAUUUUUUGGGAUUCACUGUCAACCCAGCUUGCCUGAGCGCGUCCAGCACCGCCUGGGGGCACGUCAGGUGCUCUUCCCAACCUUGGCUGUGGAUGAUGAUAUCAUCCAAAUAGGCCGCUGCGUACUGCUGGUGGGGUCGAAGUACUUUGUCCAUCAGGCGCUGGAAUGUGGGUGGGGCUCCGUGGAGACCGAACGGGAGCACCCGGUACUGAUAUAGUCCGUCUGUUGUCGAAAACAGCAUCUUAUCUCGGGAGGAGGCUGUCAACGGUACCUGCCAAUAACCUUUGGUCGGGUCAAGUGUGCUGAUGUACCGGGCCUUUCCCAAUCGGUCGAUGAGUUCGUCCACCCUCGGCAUGGGGUAGGCUUCGAACAAGCUGAUGUCGUUCACCCCCCGGAAAUCGUUACAGAAGCACAGGCUCCUGUCCGGUUUGGGCACCAACACGAUUGGGCUGUACCAUGGACUCUUCAACGACCCCCAUCCUCAGCAUAGCCUCCACCUCCUGUGUCACGGCCUUCCUUCGGGCCUCCGGAAUCCGAUAUGGCCUCUUUCGUACCGUUUCCCCAGGACGGGUACGGAUGUGGUGUUCAAUGAGGGUCGUGUGGCCCGGCUUCUCGGAGAACACCGGCGUGUUCCGAUCGACGAGCUCCCUGAGCUCUUGCUUCUGGGCCGGGUCGAGGUCCCCAUUGCUCGGGACCACCACUGGUACCGUUGGCGUCCUGGGUCCCGACCAUAACACGGCCAAGGCUGCCCUCUCGUACCAUUUCUUCAACAGGUUCACGUGAUAAAUCUGUUGGGGUUUCCAUCUCCCCGGCUGCCAUACACGGUAAUUGACAGGUGCCAGCUUCUCGAUCACCUCGUAUGGCCCGUGCCAUGUUGCCAGGAACUUACUUUCAGCCGUGGGGCUCAAGACCACCCUGUCAAGACACCCUGUCUCCCACCUGGAAUUCUCGGGGCUGGGCUCCACGAUUGUAGGCUUGGGCGCAUUGGGCCUUCUCCAUAUGUUCCCUCACGACUGGCCAUAUGGCUGUCAUCCGCUCCCUCAUCGUCUCCACGUGCUCUACCAUGCUGCGUAAUGAGGUUGGUUGGGCUUCCCACACCUCCUUGGCGAGGUCCAGUAGGUCUGCUUAGCCUCCUCCCGUAGAGGAGUUCAAACGGGGAAAACCCAGUGGAGGACUGGGGUACCUCUCGGAUUGAGAACAUUAGGUGGGGUAGUAGCUGGUCCCAGUUCUUCCCGUCCUGCUCGAUGACCUUCCGCAGCAUUUGUUUGAGCAUUUUAUUGAACCGCUCGAUGAGCCCAUCCAUCUGCGGGUGGAAGACGGAGGUCCGGAUCUGCUUGAUCUGCAGGAGGGCACAUAAAUCUUUCAUUAGGCGGGACAUAAACUCUGUAACUUGGUCUGUCAGGAUCUCGUUCGGGAUGCCCACCCGGCUAAAGAGGUGGAACAGCUCCCGGGCGAUUUCCUUGGAUACCGCCGCCUGUAGGGUAAUGGCCUCGGGAUACCGGGUGGCAAAGUCUACUAUUAUCAGGAUGUACCGGUGUCCUCGUGCUGUUUUUACCAGGGGUCCCACUAUGUCCAUUGCGAUGCGUCCAAGGGCACCCCGAUGAUCGGUAGGGGGACCAGUGGGUUUCGGAAGUGUGCCUUUGGGGCAGUCAUUUGACACUCCGGGCAACUGCGACAGUCGUCUUCCAUGGCCCUCCUCAUCCCGGGCCAGUGGAACCGGGGUGGCGAUCCGUUCCCGGGUCUUCUCCAUUCCCAGGUGCGCCCCCAACAGGUGGGCCAGCUGAAGAACGGUUCCCACGUACCGUCAGGGUAGCAACAAUAUCUCUUGAAGUUUCCCCUGUUGGUGCGACACCUGACACAAAAGGUUAUUCUUGAUUUGGAAAUGGGGGUAUCGCCAGUCACUCACCCCUGGAAGUAGCUGUCCAUCCACCGUUAUCACUUGGGCUGCGGCGGCUUUGAAGUUAGUAUCCUCCCACUGGACCGUCCCGAAUUGUCCCCUCAGUUGGCCCCCGGCGGGUGUCUCGACUGGCCCCUCAAAAUCGAGGAGGGGGAGGCUAGGCUCUUCCUCCCGUGGUUCCCCAGUGGGGUCGGGUUCCGGCACCCCCUCCGACUCCGGACCUGUAGAUACAGGUUGGUCAACCGUUUGCUUCCGGGCUGCACAGGCGAUGGGUCGUCCUCGCUCUCGUCUUCGGCCGGCUCGUACCUUCUUCCUCAGCUCGUGCCCCCACAGGGCCAUGAACAGCGGACAAUCUCGUCCCACUAGGAGAGGUAACGGCAACUCUGGUACUGCACCCACCAUCAUCUGGCAGCUCCCUUGGGGCGUCACGAUGUUGGCCCAUACGGUUGGAUACCGCUUUGUGUCCCCAUGAACACAGGAAAUGGACAUCUCCCUACCACGUUCGGUCUCCUGGUUCAGCAGGCACAUGGUUAUGAGGGUAACCAUACUUCCGGAGUCCAAUAGAGCUUCCGUGUCGUGUCCGUCAACCUUCACCAGGACCAUGGGUGCAGUUGAUUCACUGCGUGACCCACCUCGCCUCCGGGGCUUGCUGAUGGCAUCGAUUCCUCUCGAGCCAGGCAAUUCCAGGCAAUGUGUCCCCGGGUGCCACACUCAAAACCCCUCCUUUGGUCUCCAUCUACCUGGGGUCGUCGGUGGCAGGUCUGGCCCUACCCCAGCCGUCUCUCCAGGGGUUUGCUGUCCUUUGGCCCUGCCGACUGUCAGUUCGGGGUACACAGCAGUGCGGCUGUCCUUCCGACUCCUCGAACGGGUUGCCGACUCGGCCCGGCUCCCACUCAGCAGGGCCUGAGUGUUCUAAUGUGUUUCCACUGCUUCCAGGAGGCCCUCCAAGGUCUGGGGCGCUGCUCUCUUCAUGUCAUGGGGUUGUGCCCGUAGGAAGCGAUCCAGGCCCACUUUGUCUAGGAUGGAGAGGGUGGAUGUGUCGGUUAGGAGCCAUCCCCUGGUGAUGCCCAGUAGGUCGCUCAUCUGGGCUCGGGGCGUCGGGCUAUGAACCUCCAGCUGUGGAAGAGUUGAGCCCAAUGGGCCAGGCUGUACCUGUAGCGGCUGAGUAUCUUCCAUUUAAGUCCGUCGUAGUUAGCCGCCUGUUCAUCGUUCAGGUCCCACUACGCCUUUUGGGCAUUCCCAGAGCGGAACGGGGCCAGCAGACUGGCCCACUUCUGUCUUGGCCAUCCUUCCCGUAGUACCGUCCGUUCAAACGUACAGAGGUAGGUUUCGAUGUCAUCGUCUUCCGUUAGCUUGAGUAAAAACUGGUUUGGAUGCGAUUCAGUAGACUCUCCUCCUUGUAGCUUCCUGAUUUCCUCAAUGAGGAGGACGUUUUGUAGCCGCUGUUCCUCCAGCGUUCGUUCCUGAACCGCCUGUUGGGCCGAGACGAACUGAGCUAUCAACUCGUCCAUGCUGAUGCUGCGUAAACGUCAACCCUGAUCUGACCACGUUAUCAGAGUGCCCACAUUCUCCACCACUUAUGGCAGACCAGGGGGUUGGGUCAAAAUGUUUACACAGAUCAGAUACAGACAGAGAAGGAUUAGCUCAGUUUCAAAGAUGUUUAUUAAAAUAAUAGUUCAAAAAGAAAAGAAUAAGUCUCCCUCAAGAGACCCUCUCCGGGAUACCGUCUUCUGGGCUCCGGGUCUUGCUGUAUCCUGUGGGGAUGAAAAACUCAACUCCCUCCUGUUACCUCUGUAACCGUCCCCAACUAUACAGGAGUCCUUUCUUCCCCCACUCUCUUCCUGUGUGCUGCCCUUCUGGCAGCUUUAUGGGACUUGUACAGCUGAUGAACAACCAGCCCUUGAUUACUCACCAACUCCCAAUCAGCCCCAAUUAGUCCUGGACGGAGAGCCCGUCGAGACCUGGCACGUCCAGCAGAUGGAGCCAUCGCCUCGUGAUGUACACUCUGUCUGUCACCAGGCCUCGACGAGUCUCCCCCUGGUGGCUGACCUGCUGUACGCCACAAUGAAUACAACAGUAUAUAUAGCAUGUUUACAUAGAGAUAUAUAUAUAAACUAUACAACAGUAUAUAUAGCAUGUUAACAUGGGAAUAUAUAUCAUCUAUACAUGAAUAUAACAGUCUAUAUGGGUCCAGUGUUGGUUUCUUGAGGAGGGAAGCGACUCGGGCCAUCUUGAAGUCAGUUGUCAGGGAUGAGUUGGUGAGGGAAGUGAGGAAUGGGAGAAGGUCUCCAGAGAUGGUGUGGAGAAGGGAAUGGGGAUGAGUUGAUGAGGGAAGUAAGAAGGUCUCCAGAGAUGGUGUGGAGAAGUGAGGAGGGAAUGGGUGGGCAGGUUGUCGGGCGGACGGACAUCACUAAUCGCAGGAUUUUAUCUGGAGUGAGAGGGGAGAAUGAGGUCAAGGCGUAUGGUAGUUUUGUGUGAGUGGGACCAGUGGACUCAAUAGGCUGAGUGAAUGAGGAGCAGAUGUCGUCUGGAGAGAGAUGGGAGAAAGAGGUCAAGGUGUAUGGUAGUUAUGGAGAGAGAGGGGAGAAAGAGGUCAAGGCGUAUGGUAGUUAUGGAGAGAGAGGGGAGAAAGAGGUCAAGGCGUAUGGUAGUUAUGGAGAGAGAUGGGAGAAAGAGGUCAAGGCGUAUUGUAGUUCUGGAGAGAGAGGGGAGAAUGAGGUCAAGGUGUAUGGUAGUUAUGGAGAGAGAGGGGAGAAAGAGGUCAAGGCGUAUGGUAGUUAUGGAGAGAGAUGGGAGAAAGAGGUCAAGGCGUAUGGUAGUUAUGGAGAGAGAGGGGAGAAAGAGGUCAAGCCGUAUGGUAGUUAUGGAGAGAGAGGGGAGAAAGAGGUCAAGGCGUAUGGUAGUUAUGGAGAGAGAGGGGAGAAAGAGGUCAAGGUGUAUGGUAGUUAUGGAGAGAGAGGGGAGAAAGAGGUCAAGGCGUAUGGUAGUUAUGGAGAGAGAUGGGAUAAAGAGGUCAAGGCGUAUGGUAGUUAUGGAGAGAGAGGGGAGAAAGAGGUCAAGGCGUAUGGUAGUUAUGGAGAGAGAGGGGAGAAAGAGGUCAAGGCGUAUGGUAGUUAUGGAGAGAGAGGGGAGAAAGAGGUCAAGGCGUAUGGUAGUUAUGGAGAGAGAGGGGAGAAAGAGGUCAAGGUGUAUGGUAGUUAUGGAGAGAGAGGGGAGAAAGAGGUCAAGGCGUAUGGUAGUUAUGUGUGAGUGGGACCAGUGGACUCAGUAGGCUGAGUGAAUGAGGAGCAGAUGCCCUCUAGUGACCACUAUUCCAACACUAUAGUCAAUUACUUUGGGCCAAAGUCUCCCAAAGCUGUCUAAUACAUCUGGUCUAAAGUAGUGCACUAGGAAGGGAACAGGGCUCUGGUCUAAAGUAGUGCACUAUGAAGGGAACAGGGCUCUGGUCUAAAGUAGUGCACUAUGAAGGGAACAGGGCUCUGGUCUAAAGUAGUGCACUAUGAAGGGAACAG